UCUCUGAUGGGCCAGUGGCUAAGACUCUGUGCUCCCAAUGCAGGGGGCCUGGGUUCAAUCCCUGGUCAGGGAA
rfam:Ovis aries breed Texel chromosome 7, whole genome shotgun sequence.